AUGUGUCUGUUGGCCACCUGUAUGUCUUUGGAAAAAUGUCUAUUCAGUCCCUUACCCAUUCUUAUAUAUUUUUUUUUAUCACUUCAUAUUUGUAUAGUUCAUGGCUACCACAGAAGCUGGUGGGCAGUAGAUGGUCAAGAAUUGCGUGUUGAUUAUCAUGAGAGAUUCAUCCUAAGAGAAGAUAGAGGAAGAGUAGAGGAGAAAGAAGAAAGAAAUGCUGAUUAUGUUCCAGACACAGUAAGCAACUAUACAAAAUUGCUUUCUAUAACAAUUAUAGUUAUUUUUGCCUCCAUUUUUUAGGUGAUAAACCUGGCCCCAGAAAUUAACUGAUCAAGGCAAAGAGGGGUGGAAUUGAGAUUCAAAACCCAUUUAUUUUGCNAUGUUCCAGACACAGUAAGCAACUAUACAAAAUUGCUUUCUAUAACAAUUAUAGUUAUUUUUGCCUCCAUUUUUUAGGUGAUAAACCUGGCCCCAGAAAUUAACUGAUCAAGGCAAAGAGGGGUGGAAUUGAGAUUCAAAACCCAGGUUUAUUUUGCUCUAAGCACUUAGUGGUUUUUUUUUUGUUUGUUUGUUUGGCAGAAUACUCUUAGUCUCAAAGUCUUAAUCUCUUCUGUGCUCUUUGAGUGGUCAGGCAUUGGGUCCCACUCACUGUGAAUGAGACUGGGGUGACCGGGGUGACCUUUGAGCCCCAAUGUCAUUUUGUGAAUUGCAGCCCCUCCUCUAAACUAGCAGUGUCUUUUCUGGUAACUGGCCAGUCUUAUACUCUUUCAUUCUUGUGUCUUGCUCCUAUAUCCAAGUUUCUCUUCCAGUACCUCACUUAGUGCUCUAAAAGUUCUUUUUUUUUCUUUUUAAAGAUUUUAUUUAUUUAUUCAUGAGAGAAAGAUUGAGAGAGAGAGAGAGAGAGAGGCAGAGAAACAGGCAGAGAGAGAAGCAGGCUCCAUGCAGGAUGUGGGACUCGAUCCCGGGUCUCCAGGAUCACACCCUGGGCCGACAGUGGCUCUAAACCACUAAGCCACUGGGGCUGCCCAUAGUGCUCUAAAAGUUCUAAGGCGAGGUACCCUCCUUCACCAUAUAUUUAGGCAAGAAGUUAUUAAACUGUCAUUUAGCUACAGUGCAUGAUGUGUGUGUGUAUGUUGGGAGGGUGUUUGCAUUAACUGGAGGUGACAUGAUGUCUGAGUUUCUGCUCAGUAGGGUUCUUGUUCAGCUUAGGUUCCCACCAGGAAGUUACUUUACCCAAUAAAGUCACAUACUAUAAAACCUCUCCUUUGCA
rnacentral:lncRNA from 1 species